rnacentral:rRNA from 1 species
CCUACGGGUGGCAGCAGUGAGGAAUAUUGGGCAAUGGGGGCAACCCUGACCCAGCCAUGCCGCGUGAGUGAAGAAGGUCUACGGACUGUAAAGCUCUUUUGGACGUGACGAUUAUGACGGUAGCGUCUAAAGACGCACCUGCAAACUUAGUGCCAGCAGCCUAGGUAAUCCGAAGAGUGCGCGCGUUGAUGGGAAUUCCAGGUCUUAAGGGGAGUGUAGGCGGAUAUGUAGGAUAGCGGUGAAUUGCCGGGGCUAACCGCCGGACCUGCCAUUAUGACUAUGUAUCUAGAGUAAGGAAGAGGAUAGCGGAAUAUCCAGUGUAGAGGUGAAAUUCGUAGAUAUUGGAUAGAACACCGGUGGCGAAGGCGGCUAUCUGGCCAUUUACUGACGCUGAGGCUCGAAAGCAUGGGGAUCAAACAGGAUUAGAUACCCGUGUAGUC